AGGUGUUAAGAGAAGAAGGACUUGGGAGCAGACAUCAAGCAUUAUGUUUGAAAAGUGUUGGUAUCCUAGAGAAUGGGAGAAAAGCAAGUAACGCAUGGGGAUGCACUGGCAACAGUUAUUGGUCACCAGUGUGUGGAAGAUGAUGAGAUGAUGGAAAAAUCAAAAUGGAAUGAGGAGAAUUCAUAUGUUAUUUACUUCCUGGACCUUUGUUCAUGGGAUAUCUAUAAGACAUCUUCCAGAAAAUAUCUUAUAAAAUACAGGUUUGAGAAAAAUGAUUUAUUGGAAAAAGCACUGGGCUUUUCAUAUUCCAGUCCUGCUACUGAGGUGGUGACUCGGGAGAUGAAAUGAACAUUUUAAAAUCUACUUGAUGAAAGAAUUUGCACAUAGAGGUUUCUUUCUGUUUGGGGAAAUUGAGAAACAACAAUAGAAGACUGUUUUCCAGUAGCUAGCAUCCAGGAGAUAUGCCCGAAUUAGUAAAAUGAUUUUAAAUGCUAUUACUUCAGCUAUGCCAUAAAGAAUCUUCAGCUUCUGACUCCCAGGCUGAGCUCUUUUCAUUGUCCCCACAAAGCACCAGCCAGUGGACUACUGGUCACUCCUCCUGGCCUGCCGCAGCCUCUGUCCCAUAACAGGGAGCAAACAGCUGUGGUGGCUCAGAGAAUCCGCCAGGUUGUAGCAAUUUAAUCCAGUGCUCUCAUGAGGAUCUGCUGCGAGCAUCUCAUGCAGGGGCUCCGAGCUGCCAGCUUUCCCUCCGAGCUGCCUUCAGCGUCCUGUCCUCGCCCUCACAGCCUAGGAGCCUCCCUUGGAAUGAUGAUGGGACCCAGCAUAAUAUAGCCACCUGGGACCACUGAAACAGUGAUGGUGUUUUGGCCUGGAAGUCACCAGAGGCCCAUAGACCCUCACAUCAGCACAUCAAAGAGGGAACAGAUGAAAAACCACAGUUCCAAGUUUUUCCCUGGGGAGAGAAAGAGCAUAUGUGCUGCUGAAGGGAGCACAAUCCUUAUUCUUAACAGGCAAAUUGACAUUAUAUUUGCAACUAGUGUGGACAUUGAAGACUACUGAGAAAAAUUAUCAUAACUCCAUUAUUAUGUAGAAUUGUUGGCAAUCCUCAUCAAGAUCUUCAAUCUAAAACAUUCAGAAAACAGAAUUUUGGAAACCGAAAGUUCAUUUACCUUUGGGAAAAUUCCUUAUCACAUAAUCUGAAAUAUGCGUAGAAGAUUGAGAAUGUCAUUGAAGACUAAACAAACAACCUGAUUUUAUUCUGUGGUUUAAUGCAUUUAAAACCAAAGUGAAAUAUAGGAAGCCUCUAUUCUCACAAGGACAAAAAUUGGGAAGAUAUACUGCAUGAUAAAAUUUCUUAGCAAUGAACCAUAAGUUCUUCUUAAUGGAUAGAAAGCUGUUAUGUAAGAAUGUCACAAUCACCCAUGCUGAACUUUUCUUAUUGAUGUCUAUCGGCAUCUUGCCCGG
rnacentral:lncRNA from 1 species